CAGGGAUCAAGCACAGUGUAAUGGGGACUGGAGAUUAGGUACAGUGUAGAGGUAGCCGGGGAUCAGGUGCAGUGCAGUGGGGAUCGGUGAUCAGGUACACUGUAGUGGGGAUCGGGGAUCAGGUACAGUGUAGUGGGGAUCGGUGAUCAGGUACACUGUAGUGGGGAUCGGGGAUAAGGUGCAUUGUAGUGGGGAUCGGGGAUCAGGUGCAGUAUAGUGGGGAUCGGGGAUCAGGUACACUGUAGUGGGCAAUCAGGGGUCAGGUACAGUGUAGUGGGAAUCGGGGAUCAGGUACAGUGUAGUGGGGUUCGGGGAUCAGGUAUUGUGGAGUGGGGAUCGGGGAUCAGGUACAGUGUAAUGUUGGUCUCGGUGAUCAGGUCCAGUGCAGUGCGGAUCGGGGAUCAAGUACAGUGUAACGGGGAUCGGGGUCAGGUACAGUGUAGUGGGGGUCGGGGAUCAGGUGCAGUGUAGUGGGGAUCGGGAAUCAGGUACACUGUAGUGUGGAUCGGGGAUCAGGUGCAGUGUAGUGGGGAUAGGGGAUUAGGUACAGCGUAAUGGGGUCGGGGAUCAGGUACAGUGUAGUGCGGAUCGGGGAUCAGGUGCAGUGUAGUGGGGAUCAGGUGCAGUGUAGUGGGGAUCAGGUACAGUGUAGUGGGGAUCAGGGAUCAGGUACAGUGUAAUGGGGAUCGGGGAUCAGGUACAGUGUAGUGGGGAUCAGGGAUCAGGUACAGUGUAAUGGGGAUCGGGGAUCAGGUACAGUGUAGUGCGGAUCGGGAUCAGGUGCAGUGUAGUGGGGAUCGGGAUCAGGUGCAGUGUAGUGGGGAUCAGGUGCAGCGUAGUGGGGAUCAGGUACAGUGGAGUGGGGAUCAGGGAUCAGGUUCAGUGUAAUGGGGAUUGGGGAUCAGGUAUAGUGUAGUGCGGAUCAGGGAUCAGGUGCAGUGUAGUGGGGAUCGGGGAUCAGUUGCACUGUAGUGGGGAUCGGGGAUUAGGUGCAGUGCAAUGGGGAUCGGAGAUCAGGUGCAGUGCAGUGCGGAUCGGGGAUCAAGUACAGUGUAAUGGGGAUCAGGAUCAGGUGCACUGUAGUGGGGAUAGGGGAUCAGGGACAGUAUAAUGGGGUUGGGGACCAGGUGCAGUGUAGUGGGGAUCAGGGAUCAGGAACCUGUAGUGGGCAAUCGGGGUCAGGUACAGUGUAGUGGGGAUCGGGGAUCAGGUACAGUAAAAUGUUGGUCUCGGGGAUCAGGUGCAGUGCGGUGGGGAUCGGCGAUCAGGUACAGUGUAGUGGGGAUCGGGGAUCAGGUGCAGUGUAGUGAGGAUCGGGGAUCAGGUACAGUGUAGUGGGGAUCGGGGUUCAGGUGCUAUGUAGUGGGGAUCGGGGAUCAGGUGCAGUGUACUGGGGAUCGGGGAUCAGGUGCACUGUACUAGGAAUCGGGGAUUAGGUGCAGUGUAGUGGGGAUCGGGGAUUAGGUGCAGUGAAAUGGGGAUCGGGGAUUAGGGACAGUGUAGUGGGGAUCGGGGAACAGGUGCAGUGUAGUGGGGAUCAGAUGCAGUGUAGUGGGGAUCGGGGAUUAGGUGCAGUGAAAUGGGGAUCGGGGAUUAGGGACAGUGUAGUGGGGAUCGGGGAACAGGUGCAGUGUAGUGGGGAUCGGAGAUCAGGUGCAGUGUAGUGGGGAUCAGGUGCAGUGUAGUGGGGAUCAGGAUCAGGUACAGUGUAGUGGGGAUCGGGGAUCAGGUGCAGUGUAGUGGGGAUCAGGUACAGUGUAGUGGGGACCGGGGAUAAGGUGCAGUGUAGUGGGGAUCAGGGAUCAGGUGCAGUGUAAUGGGGAUCGGGGAUCAGGUACACUGUAGUGUUAGGAUCUGGGAUCAGGUGCAGUGUAGUGGGGAUCGGGGAUCAGGUACAGUGUAGUGUUGGGAUCGGGGAUCAGGUACAAUGUAGUGUUAGGAUCGGGGAUCAGGUGCAGUGUAAUGGGGAUUGGGGAUCAGGUACACUGUAGUUGGGAUCGGGGAUCAGGUACAGCGUAGUGUUAGGAUCGGAGAUCAGGUGCAGUGUAGUGGGGAUCGGGGAUCAGGUACAGUGUAGUGGGGAUCGGGGAUCAGGUGCAGUGUAGUGGGGAUCGGGGAUCAGGUACAGUGUAAUGCUGGUCUUGGGGAUCAGGUGCAGUGUAGUAGGGAUCGGGGAUCAGGUGCAGUGUCGUGGGGAUCGGUGAUCAGGUACACAGUAGUGGGGAUCGGGGAUCAGGUACACUGUAGUGGGGAUCGGGGAUCAGUACAGUGUAGUGGGGAUUGCGGAUCAGGUACACUGUAGUGGGGAUCGGGGAUCAGUACAGUGUAGUGGGGAUCGGGAUCAGGUGCAGUGUAGUGGGGAUCGGGGAUCAGGUGCAGUGUAAUGGGAAUCGGGGAUCAGGUACACUGUAGUGUUAGGAUCUGGGAUCAGGUGCAGUGUAGUGGGGAUCGGGGAUCAGGUACACUGUAGUGGGGAAUCAGGGAUCAAGUGCAGUGUAGUCGGCAUCGUGGAUCAGGUACAGUAUAAUGGGGAUCAGGAUCAGGUACACUGUAGUGGGGAUCGGCGAUCAGGUGCAGUGUAGCGGGGUUCGUGGAUCAGAUGCAGUGUAGUGGGGAUCAGGUACAGUGUAGUGGGGAUUGGGGAUCAGGUGCAGUGUAGUGUUCGGAUCAGGGAUCAAAUACAGUGUAGUGGGGAUCGGGGAUCAGGUGCAGUGUAGUGGGGAUUGGGGAUCAGGUGCAGUGUAGUGGGGAUUGGGGAUCAGGUGCAGUGUAAUGGGAAUCGGGGAUCAGGUGCAGUGUAGUGGGGAUCAGGUACAGUGUAGUGGGGAUAGGGGAUCUGGUACAGUGUAGUGUUAGGAUCAGGGAUCAGGUACAGUGCAGUGGGGAUCGGGGAUCAGGUACAGUGUAGUGGGGAUCGGGGAUCUGGUACAGUGUAGUGUUAGGAUCAGGGAUCAGGUACAGUGUAGUGGGGAUCGGGGAUCAGGUGCAGUGUAGUGGGGAUAGGGGAUCUGGUACAGUGUAGUGUUAGGAUCGGGCAUCAGGUACAGUAUAGUGGGGAUCGGGGAUCAGGUACAGUGUAGUGGGGAUCGGGGAUCUGGUACAGUAUAGUGUUAGGAUCGGGGAUCAGGUACAGUGCAGUGGGGAUCGGGGAUCAGGUACAGUGUAGUGGGGAUCGGGGAUCAGGUGCAGUGUAGUGGGGAUCGGGGAUCAGGUACAGUGUAGUGGGGAUCGGGGAUCAGGUACAGUGUAGUGGGGAUCGGGGAUCAGGUACAGUGUAGUGGGGAUCGGGGAUCAGGUACAGUGUAGUGGGGAUCGGGGAUCAGGUACAGUGUAGUGGGGAUCGGGGAUCAGGUACAGUGUAGUGGGGAUCGGGGAUCAGGUACAGUGCAGUGGGGAUCGGGGAUCAGGUACAGUGUAGUGGGGAUUGGGGAUCAGGUACAGUGUAGUGGGGAUCGGGGAUCAGGUACAGUGUAGUGGGGAUUGGGGAUCAGGUACAGUGUAGUGGGGAUCGGGGGUUAAUAAGGAAUCGGGGAUCAGGUGCAGUGUAGUGGGGAUCAGGUAGAGAGUAAGGGGAUCGGGGAUCAGUGGGGAUCGGGGAUCAGGUAGAGUGUAAUGAGGAUCGGGGAUCAGGUGAAAUGUAGUGGGGAUCAUGCCCUGAGAAAUGUGAAGCCUCACGUUGCCGAUGAGCCUGAGCUAAAGUUUUGAAGUGAAGAGGUCGGAGGUUUUUGAGGACAGCCCGCAGCACAGGUGCCCGUCCUCCGGGAGCGGC